rnacentral:tRNA from 1 species
GUUUUUAUAAUUUAAUACAAAAAUAUUGGUCUUGUAAAUCAAAAAUAUGAAUUUCAUUAAAAACA